GAGAGUAGUUUUAUUCUUGCUUUUGUGUUUGUUUUUAAUUUUUUUUAUAUGUAAGUUUUUGCGUGAUUUGUUUUUUCUUAAUGUUGUUUGUUUUUUUAUUCGCAUUAUUUAUUUUUAUAUAUUGAGGUGACUCAGAUUUAGUUAUAUUUUUUAGAGUUGGUUAAAUUUGUGCCAGCAGCCGCGGUUAUACAUGGAGCUCAAGCAAAUAUUUUUUGGUUGAUAGUUUUAUUUAAUUUUUGGGUUUAAUUUCUUUUGAUUUUUGGUGAAAUUUCAAUUUCUUGUUUUUCCCCCUUGUUGUUUUGUAGGCUAUGAAAUCUUUUUUUUAGACUAGGAUUAGAUACCCUAUUAUUUUUGAUGUUAAUUUUGUGGCCUGAGUAGUAUUAGUUAUGUUCUUGAAACUUAAAGAAUUUGGCGGUAUUUUAUUCCGUUCAGAGGAAUCUGCCCUAUUAUCGAUAAUCCGCGUUGGACCUUGCUUAUUUUUUUUGUUUGUAUACCGCCGUUAUAAUGAGAAUCUUUUUAGGGUUAUAAUUUUUUCUUUCCUUUAUUUUGGUUUAUUUCAGGUCAAGGUGCAGCUUUUAUUUAAGUUGGUGGUGGAUUACAUUGUUAUUAAUUUUGGAUUGUUUGUUGAAAUUUCUUUCAUGAAAUUGGAUUUGAUUGUAAUUAUUUGAAGAUUGUCUUUGUGAUUUUGGUUCUAAAGUAUGUACACAUCGCCCGUCGCUCUCGUUGUUUAAGAGGCGAGAUAAGUCGUAACAGAGUGGUUGUACCGGAAGGUGUAGCUGGAAUGAUA
rnacentral:ncRNA from 1 species